UAUACAGAGCUCACUUCUUUCUGCUUCCCAGAUCCAGCCCCCCACAGAGAACCGCUUCCUGGGAUUGCUCGGAAAGGCUCCAGUUCUCCUCUUCCACCGCUGGCUGCAAUGGCUUGACUCCUAAUUGAUGUCGGUGUAAAGGAGAGAGGCCCAACAGGAACCAGCCGCUAGACUCUGAAAGAUCACUGGAAACAAGAGGAUCUUUAUCCUUCAGGACAUCAUCUCAAGCCAGUCAUUUUCUGUGCUGUUCCCUUCGCUGUUACUGGAGAUUUGCUCCACCCCAGAGUUUUGUGCUUUCAUGGCAAAUCCACUGUGCUUGCUACAAAGGGAAAACUGAGUUUCGGCCAGCUAUAAUCCUGUGAGCAGUGGAAUCAAAGGAAGAGCAAUAAGCGAGGGGGUAAGAUCUGCAG